CGGGGACUUCCCGCGAGCCGCGCAGCCCCGCCCCCCUCCGCGCGGACGCGGCCCGGGAGACCUAGUGCGCAGGCGCGGAUGCUGACUCCGCGUCCCCGCCCUGCCGGGCCGCGGGGGCGCGCCCGGGAGGAGGAAGGGGCGGGGAGCCGAGGAAGGGCGCACGCACGGCAGCCGGCGGGAACUGGCCUGUCCCGGCAGCCGGGCGGGAGGCUCUGCGGGCGGCCGCCCAGGUGGGGGGCUCCCAGGCAGCCAGGGCCUCGGACCGCAGCCGUUCCCCGCCCAGGCCCCGGGAGCAGCUUCCAAACCCUGGCCACACUUUCUGUCCAUCCCCGCGUCACCCAGGGACUUCAUGCGGUCGGGGCUUUUCUGUCUGACCGACGACUCGCCCUAAAAGGAGAGGCAAUAAAAUAUCUACCUCGGAGGUUUGUAAAAGUAAAGGAAGAAGUGCGGGAAGUGUCCUAACAGUCACAUCCGUUACUGCCCUGUGAAUGUUCAGAGUCAUUGUCCAAAUCCGAGCAACUGCUGUGUGCUGUAGAAGACAAGGCCAGUCGGGAGUCCUCAAGCCUAUGUAAAAUAGUAGGCAGCUCCUGGUGCAACCCCACACCCCAAAGUAGCAUGCUCCCCGAGGGAGGGAGACAGCUGGAGGCCAAGCAGACACAUACCAGGCUUCCUUCCAUCUCUGUCAGACCCAGCGGCCAGGGAGUGCAUCCAUUCAGAUCUGUGUCCCUAGACGAGUGUCUGCCACAUAGUGGAGGGUGCUUAGAAACAAAAACAAGACAUUUGCGCAGACUGGAACCUGCAUUUUAGAAAACUGUUGUUGAUCCCACAAACCAAUCCAAGGUUGUAAUGAUUUAAAGUAAGCAUUUGUAGUUCUUCAUCAUCUUCCAUGUGGUUUUCUUUCUGAGAUUUCCAGGCACACCAGAAAGGUGAUUCCUAACAUGACACUGCAGAAAUAUUGGGCUGAGGCUGACGGAUUUCAAGAACAGGAGCUGGAAAGAGUGACUAUUCACAAGAGUCCUGGUCUGACCACUGGGGCAUGAACUCAAUCCCUUCC
rnacentral:lncRNA from 1 species